rnacentral:piRNA from 1 species
UCCCAGAUUCCACAUAUCUGUCUUUGCCUC